UACGGAGGGUGCGAGCGUUAAUCGGAAUAACUGGGCGUAAAGGGCAUGCAGGCGGACUUUUAAGUGAGAUGUGAAAGCCCCGGGCUUAACCUGGGAAUUGCAUUUCAGACUGGGGGUCUAGAGUACUUUAGGGAGGGGUAGAAUUCCACGUGUAGCGGUGAAAUGCGUAGAGAUGUGGAGGAAUACCGAAGGCGAAGGCAGCCCCUUGGGAAGAUACUGACGCUCAUAUGCGAAAGCGUGGGGAGCAAAC
rnacentral:rRNA from 1 species